rnacentral:lncRNA from 1 species
GCUUGUUAUGCUUUUGCUUGUUUAACUGAGACUCGAUCUGAGAUCCGAUCCGGAUCGACUCGAAUUCGAUCCAAAAUUUAGGUCAGAUCCAGAUCGCGAUCUAGGUCGGAUCCGAUCAGAAUCUAGGUCAGGAUUCGGAUCCUGAUUGGAUCCAGCUACAUCUCUCUAUUUUCAUAAAGAGAUGCAUGGUAGUGAUUUAGUGCAUGCA